rnacentral:rRNA from 1 species
AUUGAACGCUGGCGGCAGGCCUAAGACAUGCAAGUCGAGCGAGAAAGCCCUUCGGGGUGAGUACAGCGGCGGACGGGUGAGUAACGCGUAGGAAUCUACCUAGUAGUGGGGGACAACUCGUGGAAACGCGAGCUAAUACCGCAUACGCCCUACGGGGGAAAGCGGGGGAUCUUCGGACCUCGUGCUAUUAGAUGAGCCUGCGUAAGAUUAGCUAGUUGGUGGGGUAAUGGCCUACCAAGGCGACGAUCUUUAGCUGGUCUGAGAGGAUGAUCAGCCACACCGGGACUGAGACACGGCCCGGACUCCUACGGGAGGCAGCAGUCGGGAAUAUUGCGCAAUGGGCGAAAGCCUGACGCAGCCAUGCCGCGUGUGUGAAGAAGGCCCUAGGGUUGUAAAGCACUUUCAAUUGGGAGGAAAAGCUAACGGUUAAUAGCCAUUAGCCCUGACGUUACCUUUAGAAGAAGCACCGGCUAACUCCGUGCCAGCAGCCGCGGUAAUACGGAGGGUGCAAGCGUUAAUCGGAAUUACUGGGCGUAAAGCGCGCGUAGGCGGUUUUUUAAGUCGGAUGUGAAAGCCCCGGGCUCAACCUGGGAAUUGCAUCCGAUACUGGAUGACUAGAAUGCGGGAGAGGGAGGUAGAAUUCCAUGUGUAGCAGUGAAAUGCGUAGAUAUAUGGAGGAAUACCAGUGGCGAAGGCGGCCUCCUGGCUCGACAUUGACGCUGAGGUGCGAAAGCGUGGGGAGCAAACGGGAUUAGAUACCCCGGUAGUCCACGCCGUAAACGAUGUCUACUAGCUGUAGGGGUACUUGAGACCUUUGUAGCGCAGCUAACGCAAUAAGUAGACCGCCUGGGGAGUACGGCCGCAAGGUUAAAACUCAAAUGAAUUGACGGGGGCCCGCACAAGCAGUGGAGCAUGUGGUUUAAUUCGAUGCAACGCGAAGAACCUUACCAGGCCUUGACAUCCCCGGAACUUUCUAGAGAUAGAUUGGUGCCUUCGGGAACCGG